GAGCGGUAACAGAUCCAGCUUGCUGGAUGCUGACGAGCGGCGGACGGGUGAGUAAUGCAUAGGAAUCUGCCCGAUAGUGGGGGAUAACCUGGGGAAACCCAGGCUAAUACCGCAUACGUCCUACGGGAGAAAGGGGGCUCCGGCUCCCGCUAUGGGAUGAGCCUAUGUCGGAUUAGCUAGUUGGUGAGGUAACGGCUCACCAAGGCGACGAUCCGUAGCUGGUCUGAGAGGAUGAUCAGCCACAUCGGGACUGAGACACGGCCCGAACUCCUACGGGAGGCAGCAGUGGGGAAUAUUGGACAAUGGGGGAAACCCUGAUCCAGCCAUGCCGCGUGUGUGAAGAAGGCCCUCGGGUUGUAAAGCACUUUCAGCGAGGAAGAACGCCUAGCGGUUAAUACCCGCUAGGAAAGACAUCACUCGCAGAAGAAGCACCGGCUAACUCCGUGCCAGCAGCCGCGGUAAUACGGAGGGUGCAAGCGUUAAUCGGAAUUACUGGGCGUAAAGCGCGCGUAGGUGGCUUGAUAAGCCGGUUGUGAAAGCCCCGGGCUCAACCUGGGAACGGCAUCCGGAACUGUCAAGCUAGAGUGCAGGAGAGGAAGGUAGAAUUCCCGGUGUAGCGGUGAAAUGCGUAGAGAUCGGGAGGAAUACCAGUGGCGAAGGCGGCCUUCUGGACUGACACUGACACUGAGGUGCGAAAGCGUGGGUAGCAAACAGGAUUAGAUACCCUGGUAGUCCACGCCGUAAACGAUGUCGACCAGCCGUUGGGUGCCUAGCGCACUUUGUGGCGAAGUUAACGCGAU
rnacentral:rRNA from 1 species